rnacentral:rRNA from 1 species
UACAGAGGGGGCAAGCGUUGUUCGGAAUUACUGGGCGUAAAGGGCGCGUAGGCGGCCUUCUAAGUCAGACGUGAAAUCCCCCGGCUUAACCUGGGAACUGCGUCUGAUACUGGAAGGCUUGAGUGCGGGAGAGGGAUGUGGAAUUCCAGGUGUAGCGGUGAAAUGCGUAGAUAUCUGGAGGAACACCGGUGGCGAAGGCGGCAUCCUGGACCGACACUGACGCUGAGGUGCGAAAGCGUGGGGAGCAAACAGG